AGGUGGUAGAGAAGGCGGUAAAAGAGACUGCCCGGGCUGAAAAGGGGGCUCGCUGGGCAAGAGGAAGCUAGGCCACGAAGGGCAAUGUGCAAGGAGCCCAGCACGAGGGGCACAGAGUAUACGACCAGUGAGGCUGACCAUUGGGCCGCUGACAGAGGGAAUACAGCCCGCAGAAUGGGCGGGGCUCUCUGGGUAAGGAGUUUACGGGUGGAUUUGCUGGAAAGAGAUGCGGUUGCUGCAGUGUCAAGGCAAAGGAGCAUCACAAGCCGGAGACAGCACCUGAGGUUCGGUUCUUGUCUGGGAUGUCAAGAGUUUCACAAAAUCUUGAUCAAUACCUUGAAAUAUCUUUGAUGAAGGCGAAGGGAAAGAGGCUUCCAUUCACUCAAUAUGGCAGAAAUAUCAGGCUGGACCUAGUGCCUUUUCUGUUUAUGCCCUCCGUUUGGGGCCUGGGGAAGACAUUGUCACCUCUUUGUUACACUUUGUAGAAGAUAAGAAGCUAAAAGCUCCAUUUGUCAUGACUUGUGUGGGAAGCAUCACCAAAGCAACGCUGAGACUGGCCAACACCACUGCUUCGAAUACUAAUCAGAUUAUUCAUCUAAAUGAGAGGUUUGAAAUCGUCUCCUUGGUGGGAACCCUGAACAAAGCACCUCAUCUCCACAUCUGCCUGUCUGAUAAGGAUGGGAAGACUGUCGGAGGGCACGUUAUAAGUGACUUGGAAGUCUUCACUACAGCUGAGAUAGUGAUCGGCGAAUGCACGGGCCUGCAGUUCACCCGGGAGAUGGAUGAUCGCACAGGUUUCCCAGAACUUGUCAUUAGUUCUCGCUCUGAAAAGGUUUAGUAAUUUCUGCCCUGUAAAUUAUGUGACAUGCCUCAAAAAAAGUGGAUUAAAUAAAUGGGGUUGGAGCAUGCCUUCCUUUCUCUUAGCGUUUAGCUUAUUGAUUCAGACAUAUUUUCACGCAGAGAAUAAUCAAUUCUUCAAUGGGUGGACAGAAUAAAAUAAUUUCAGGCAAACUCUUCAAAUGACUUGUCAUUAAUUUGCCUUUUGCCAGCACUUGUUCACUCCAAACAAGAUGUGUUUAGCUUCCUCCAAGUAUUAACUGAGUUGUGCCCUGGGGAUUUUCUGGGACUGAUUGGCCAGGAAGGAGGGGGGCGGUGGGGGCUGGCGAGGGCUAAUGAAUGCACUAUGUUUGCUCAUCUUUACAGAGUCACUUAUUACCACUAAUUGGGAGGGACAGUUCAAACAAGCACAGAGGAGCAGUUGUCACAUGAGCGUGACAUGGUUUUAAAGAGGCAGUCAGGGACGAUUGCACUGCCUGGUCCUGGCCCUGGCCCCUGAACUCUGCAGCAUCCUGGCUGGCAGCCUAGCAUAUCUCCUCCUCAAAGUGGAGCCUUUGUCAGGGAGUGCUAUUAGAAGUCAGCAGUCUUAAGAAAUCUGGGCAAGACAAGUCAUUUCAGGGAGCUAUAGACAGACAUGCAGCUGUCUGGGACACUUAGAAAGUCAACAGCUGACGGAAGGGGUGGACUUCUGGCUUGGCUCAAAAUGGAUUUAAAGAUGUGAUCAGAAUUAAUUUGUGGUGCAUAGUUUGGGUUUGUUUUCCUAAAGAGUUCCUUUGAUUUAAGAAUAGUUGGUGGUAGUAGGAGUCUAAUAUUAAUACUGGACAUGCUCUGUGCAUUGUUUCAUGAUGGUACCUGUUGAUUGUUUCCUGUCUGUUGCACUUAGCAGAAUGCAGAAAUGUUAAUAUCUGACUCUGUUUGGCUGGAAUGACAACCCUCUCCAAACACAGCUAAUCUUUCCAAGUUAUUUUUGCUUUAAAGUGUUUCCCUUCCAAGUAAAUUCACUGUGACGUUCCCUGAUUAAAACCAUUUGAAUUAUACGCGUACAAACAGAUUGUGUCUUUCACAUAUAAAUUUACCUUCAGCUUCAGCAUCAAUAUGUUUUGCUGGUUUUUGUGGGGAAAACUUUGAUUAAAAGAAUUAACCAGGGGUAAAUAUAUUGGCAAUCUUAACACAGUUUUGUUUGCCUGCUACAUUUUUGGUUCAAGAUAGGUUGUCCAAUGGGGAAUUAUAAUAGGUUGGAAGUAAUGGGUGGUGUGUGAUGUUAUAUGGGGGUGUGGAAGUGUGGGAGAGAACAAACUUUAUGAAAGAGGGAUAUAUAAUGAAGACCUGUUAUAAUAGGUUCUAAAUCUGAAAGCCCUACUGAAUGGAGUCCACCGGGACUAUAGUAAGGGUCAGAUUCUGAUUUACAAUCAUGAUAAUAAUAUUGUGUCCAAAGUCCCCAGCUGGGAUUGGGGCUGCACAGUGUUAGGUGCUGUAUAACCAUCCCCUUUAAGGUCCAUUUACAUUGCCAGUGUGGUGUAAAAGGCACUUUGUGUAAAUGAGAAUCAGACCCCAAGUGUUUGCACGGUCAGGCCCUUAACUGGUGAGCUACGUAAUAAAAUAAAUCCUU